AGCAUAUUUCGCCCAGCCGGAGCUCGACCGUCGACCGAAGUGAUGGUGAUAUUUGUUGAUCAGCAUAAAGAACAAUACGGGGUCGAGCCGAUCUGCGAGCAAAUUCAGAUUGCCCUG
rfam:Nitrosomonas communis strain Nm2, complete genome.